GACAGAGGGUGCGAACGUUGUCCGGAAUCACUGGGCUUAAAGCGCGCGCAGGCGGUCCUUUAAGUCUGAUGUGAAAGCCCACGGCUCAACCGUGGAGGGUCAUUGGAAACUGGGGGACUUGAGUACAGAAGAGAAGAGUGGAAUUCCACGUGUAGCGGUGAAAUGCGUAGAUAUGCGGAGGAACACCGAUGGCGGAAGGCAAUCCCCUGGGCCUGCACUGACGCUCAUGCACGAAAGCGUGGGGAGCAA
rnacentral:rRNA from 1 species